rnacentral:lncRNA from 1 species
UGAAUAGUAUCUUUAGCUUUUUUAUAAUAUAAGUAUAAACCUUCUUGACAUUGUCUAAUUUUUUUCUUUUGUGUGAAGAGUUUAAAAUGUAUUGUAUCAAUUUAUAUUAGUUCUAGCCUUGAUGAAUAAGUUUCUAAAAACUUUGAAGUUGUAGUCAUUAUUUGAUUUAUUCUUUUUCAGUCAAAUCUUUAUUCUUGACGUCUUUCAAAUAAUU